rnacentral:snRNA from 1 species
CCCACAUUAUGGUCCUUGGAGCUAAGAUCAAAGUGUAGUGUCUGUUCUUAUCAGUUUAAUAUCUGAUAUGUUCUUUAUCUGAGAACCUCACAAUCAUUUAUCCUCACAACGCACUUGUGAGGAAGGGCAGUGCUAUUAUCCCCCUUUCACAGAUGAGGGACUGAAGUGCAAAGAGA